rnacentral:ncRNA from 2 species
GUAUAAUUGUCACGUUUUGGUGCCCGCACGCAUGUCCAUGUGUGCAGUUAAACGGGAAACACGAAGCCUUCCAGCUAACGUGUGCUGCCCCCGCAACGGUAAGCAAGUGUCGUCCUGACCGACGACGAGCCGCCUCGAAAAACCACUGUGCCAAUCAGGCAUGGGAAGGUGAGACGGCCGCACUUGCCAGCCCGGAUACCGGCCAAGACAGGUGGAAGUGU